rnacentral:tRNA from 1 species
GAGGGUAUAUCUCAGUGGUACAGGGCUUGCUUGGCAUACAAGAGGUCCUGGGUUCAAUCCCCAGCACCUUCA